AGUGAACGCUGGCGGUAGGCCUAACACAUGCAAGUCGAACGGCAGCACAGUAAGAGCUUGCUCUUACGGGUGGCGAGUGGCGGACGGGUGAGGAAUACAUCGGAAUCUACUUUUUCGUGGGGGAUAACGUAGGGAAACUUACGCUAAUACCGCAUACGACCUACGGGUGAAAGCAGGGGAUCUUCGGACCUUGCGCGAUUGAAUGAGCCGAUGUCGGAUUAGCUAGUUGGCGGGGUAAAGGCCCACCAAGGCGACGAUCCGUAGCUGGUCUGAGAGGAUGAUCAGCCAACCGGGAACUGAGACACGGUCCAGACGCCUACGGGAGGCAGCAGUGGGGAAUAUUGGACAAUGGGCGCAAGCCUGAUCAAGCCAUACCGCGUGGGUGAAGAAGGCCUUCGGGUUGUAAAGCCCUUUUGUUGGGAAAGAAAAGCAGCAGGUUAAUACCCCGCUGUUCUGACGGUACCCAAAGAAUAAGCACCGGCUAACUUCGU
rnacentral:rRNA from 1 species